rnacentral:rRNA from 1 species
UGGCCAGACUCCUACGGGAGGCAGCAGUGGGGAAUAUUGCACAAUGGGGGAAACCCUGAUGCAGCGACGCCGCGUGAGUGAAGAAGUAUUUCGGUCUGUAAAGCUCUAUCAGCAGGGAAGAAAUAGCGACCUUUGGGUCGCCAGACGGUACCUGAUUAAGAAGCCCCGGCUAACUACGUGCCAGCAGCCGCGGUAAUACGGAGGAUGCGAGCGUUAUCCGGAUUUAUUGGGUUUAAAGGGUGCGCAGGCGGAAUGUCAAGUCAGCGGUAAAAUUUCGGGGCUCAACCCCGUCGUGCCGUUGAAACUGGCGUUCUUGAGUGAGCGAGAAGUAUGCGGAAUGCGUGGUGUAGCGGUGAAAUGCAUAGAUAUCACGCAGAACUCCGAUUGCGAAGGCAGCAUACCGGCGCUCAACUGACGCUCAUGCACGAAAGCGUGGGUAUCGAACAGGAUUAGAUACCCGCGUAA